rnacentral:tRNA from 1 species
UAGCUUAAUGAUAGAGUACUUGCUUAACAUGCAUGAAGCCCUGGGUUCAAUCCCAG